CAUCCGGAAACGGGUGCUAAUACCGCAUAGUUUUCUUGAUCGCAUGAUUGAGAAAGGAAAGAACGGCCUUUGUGCUGUCGCUUAUGGAUGGACCCGCGGCGUAUUAGUUAGUUGGUGAGGUAACGGCUCACCAAGACGAUGAUACGUAGCCGACCUGAGAGGGUGAUCGGCCACAUUGGGAACUGAGACACGGCCCAAACUCCUACGGGAGGCAGCAGUAGGGAAUCUUCCGCAAUGGACCGAAAGUCUGACGGAGUCAACGCCGCGUGAGUGAAGAAAAGGUUUUCGGAUCGUAAAACUCUGUUGUCAGAGAAGAACAAGUUGGAGAGUAACUGACUCCAGCCUUGACGGUAUCUGACCUAGAAAGCCACGGCUAACUACGUGCCAGCAGCCGC
rnacentral:rRNA from 1 species